CCCUUAGAUGUUCUGGGCCGCACGCGCGCUACACUGACAGGGCCAGCGAGUACAUCACCUUAACCGAGAGGUUUGGGUAAUCUUGUUAAACCCUGUCGUGCUGGGGAUAGAGCAUUGCAAUUAUUGCUCUUCAACGAGGAAUGCCUAGUAGGCACGAGUCAUCAGCUCGUGCCGAUUACGUCCCUGCCCUUUGUGCACACCGCCCGUCGCUACUACCGAUUGAAUGGCUCAGUGAGGCCUUGGGAUUGGCUUAGGAGGGUUGGCAACGACCCCCCAGAGCCGAAAACUUGGUCAAACUCGGUCAUUUAGAGGAAGUAAAAGUCGUAACA
rnacentral:rRNA from 1 species